CCGGCACGGUGAGUAACACGUAUCCAACCUGCCGUCUACUCUUGGACAGCCUUCUGAAAGGAAGAUUAAUACAAGAUGGCAUCAUGAGUCCGCAUGUUCACAUGAUUAAAGGUAUUCCGGUAGACGAUGGGGAUGCGUUCCAUUAGAUAGUAGGCGGGGUAACGGCCCACCUAGUCUUCGAUGGAUAGGGGUUCUGAGAGGAAGGUCCCCCACAUUGGAACUGAGCACGGUCCAA
rnacentral:rRNA from 1 species